UUAUCAGCUUGGGAUAAUCUUUACCUGUUCCUUCUUUUGGAGGGCCAAAUUAAGGACAUGAUUGGCGGUCUCACAUCAGUAUGCGAUUAACGUCUCUGAGUAGAUCAGGAACUUCCAGUACCCUAUUGUGCUAUCUGAU
rnacentral:snoRNA from 1 species